UACGUAGGGCGCAAGCGUUGUCCGGAAUUAUUGGGCGUAAAGAGCUCGUAGGCGGUUUGUCGCGUCUGCCGUGAAAGUCCGGGGCUCAACUCCGGAUCUGCGGUGGGUACGGGCAGACUAGAGUGAUGUAGGGGAGACUGGAAUUCCUGGUGUAGCGGUGAAAUGCGCAGAUAUCAGGAGGAACACCGGUGGCGAAGGCGUUGCCUGGAGCUUGCUGACGCUGAGGCGCGAAAGCGUGGGAGCGAUCCGGAU
rnacentral:rRNA from 1 species